UUGAGCUUGAUCCCUGGCUCAGGACGAACGCUGGCGGCGUGCUUAACACAUGCAAGUCGAGCGGUAAGGCCUUUCGGGGUACACGAGCGGCGAACGGGUGAGUAACACGUGGGUGAUCUGCCCUGCACUUCGGGAUAAGCCUGGGAAACUGGGUCUAAUACCGGAUAUGACCUCCUAUCGCAUGGUGGGUGGUGGAAAGAUUUAUCGGUGCAGGAUGGGCCCGCGGCCUAUCAGCUUGUUGGUGGGGUAAUGGCCUACCAAGGCGACGACGGGUAGCCGACCUGAGAGGGUGACCGGCCACACUGGGACUGAGACACGGCCCAGACUCCUACGGGAGGCAGCAGUGGGGAAUAUUGCACAAUGGGCGAAAGCCUGAUGCAGCGACGCCGCGUGAGGGACGACGGCCUUCGGGUUGUAAACCUCUUUCAGCAGGGACGAAGCGCAAGUGACGGUACCUGCAGAAGAAGCACCGGCUAACU
rnacentral:rRNA from 1 species